CACCCACGAAGCAAGUAAUUCACGACCUCAGGAACUUCAUCAUGAGGGCAGUGACCAGCUGGGCUGAUCUCGUAAUACGGAGCUUCAGGCACCUGUCGUUUCACCUUAAGGCCCCAGAUGGGCUUCACCCAUGGGUCCUCUUUUCCAUACAUGAGACAGAUGGGAAGAUUGUUCAUUUUACACCUCAUUAAACAUUCCUCAAAUGAUAGUUGUCCCUGAGGAGCAAACAUAAUUGAAGCAAAUGAUGCAGCAGCAGCAGGAUGUUGUGUUAUUUCAAGAAUACGAGAAAACACUUGGUCAACAUUUGUAGAAUGAUCUGCAUAAACCUGUUUAAGUAUCUCUGCUAUACUCUUGGGAU
rnacentral:misc_RNA from 1 species